AUUGAACGCUGGCGGCAGGCCUAACACAUGCAAGUCGAGCGGAUGAAGGGAGCUUGCUCCUGGAUUCAGCGGCGGACGGGUGAGUAAUGCCUAGGAAUCUGCCUGGUAGUGGGGGAUAACGUCCGGAAACGGGCGCUAAUACUGCAUACGUCCUGAGGGAGAAAGUGGGGGAUCUUCGGACCUCACGCUAUCAGAUGAGCCUAGGUCGGAUUAGCUAGCUGGUGGGGUAAAGGCCUACCAAGGCGACGAUCCUUAACUGGUCUGAGAGGAUGAUCAGUCGCACUGGAACUGAGACACGGUCCAGACUCCUACGGGAGGCAGCAGUGGGGAAUAUUGGACAGUGGGCGAAAGCCUGAUCCAGCCAUGCCGCGUGUGUGAAGAAGGUCUUCGGAUUGUAAAGCACUUUAAGUUGGGAGGAAGGGCAGUAAGUUAAUACCUUGCUGUUUUGACGUUACCAACAGAAUAAGCACCGGCUAACUUCGUG
rnacentral:rRNA from 1 species